UGCAGGGUCAUGGAUGGCAGCAUGGUGCCAAAUUGAAUUGAAUGCUGGCUUCCCUCCCGGGCUGGUCUCCAUCACUGCCCUGUGGACAAAGUCACUGCAGCUAAGGACACGGGAGGUCAUCUGUUUGUCACAGGGGAAGACUUCCAGGCCCUGAGCUCAGCCAGGUGGACAAUGUCCUGAGGGAUCAACAACACAUUGAUGAUCAAGCCGGUGUCUGACCUAAAGAAAUCGGACGAUAAAAAGAAGGCGAGAGGCACAGCAUGCUGGCACACACCUUUAGUCCCAGCUCGGCAGGCAGAGCUGGGUUUUCCUGUGUAGCCUCGGCUGUCCUGGACUCGCUUUGUAGACCAGGCUGGCCUUGAAUUCCCAGAGACCUGCUUGUGUCUGCUUCCUGAGUGCUGGGAUCACAGGCAUGUGCCACUGCGCCCGGCUAUUAUUGACUCUUACGGCAGUUGAGACAUGUCUUCCACCCAGGGCUGGAGCUGUGACUCAGAGCCCAUUCUUUUGGCCUCUAAUAAAAGCCCUGGAGUGGCAGCUCCGGGUUUUAUAAGGGAAGGUGUCAUCUGCUUACCCUGCAGAAAGCCGUGUUGGCUUUCUGAGAAGCUGCCCAACACUGUUGCAGAUCUCACGUAAUGGAAGCAGGAUACUUCCUUUUUCGUUUUGAGAGAGAGAGAGAGAGAGAGAGAGAGAGAGAGAGCGCAGAUCUCUUCCUCUUCUCUAACCUUGGGCUGUGGCCUUCCCCUUUGCUUCUGAUAGGCCACUCUCAGUAAUCAUAAGCCCACACCAC